rnacentral:lncRNA from 1 species
AUGUAUGGUCAUGAAAUUAUCAUUUAUCCUUCAGCUGUCAUUAACCCUCUGACUCUCCUCUCCCCCUCUCUUUUUGUUUUUCUAUCUUUUUCUGCCCGCCCCCCUCUGUCUCCUACUCCCUCUCUUUCUGCCUGUCUCCUACUCCCUCUUUCUGCCUGUCUCCUACUCCCUCUUUCUGCCUGUCUCCUACUCCCUCUUUCUGCCUGUCUUCUACUCCCUCUCUUUCUGCCUGUCUCCUACUCCCUCUUUCUGCCUGUCUCCUACUCCCUCUUUCUGCCUGUCUUCUACUCCCUCUACUUCUGCCUGUCUCCUACUCCCUCUUUCUGCCUGUCUUCUACUCCCUCUCUUUCUGCCUGUCUCCUACUCCCUCUUUCUGCCUGUCUCAUACUCCCUCUUUCUGCCUGUCUUCUACUCCCUCUCUUUCUGCCUGUCUCCUACUCCCUCUUUCUGCCUGUCUCCUACUCCCUCUCUUUCUGCCUGUCUCCUACUCCCUCUUUCUGCCUGUCUCCUACUCCCUCUCUUUCUGCCUGUCUCCUACUCCCUCUUUCUGCCUGUCUUCUACUCCCUCUCUUUCUGCCUGUCUCCUACUCCCUCUCUUUCUGCCUGUCUCCUACUCCCUCUUUCUGCCUGUCUCCUACUCCCCCUCUUUCUACCUGUCUCCUACUCCCUCUCUUUCUGCCUGUCUCCUACUCCCUCUCUUUCUGCCUGUCUCCUACCUCUCCUUCUGCCUGUCUCCUACUCCCUCUUUCUGCCUGUCUUCUACUCCCUCUCUUUCUGCCUGUCUCCUACUCCCUCUCUUUCUGCCUGUCUCCUACUCCCUCUUUCUGCCUGUCUCCUACUCCCCCUCUUUCUACCUGUCUCCUACUCCCUUUCUUUCUGCCUGUCUCCUACUCCCUCUCUUUCUGCCUGUCUCCUACCUCUCCUUCUGCCUGUCUCCUACUCCCUCUCUUUCUGCCUGUCUCCUACCUCUCCUUCUGCCUGUCUCCUACUCCCUCUCUUUCUGCCUGUCUCCUCAUUAUCUCUCUCAAUUUAGUGGCUUUAUUGGUAUGGGAAACAUAUGUUAACAUUGCCAAACCAAGUGAACUAGAUAAUAAACAAAAGUGA